UAAAGCAGCAAUGCGCUUGGGGAGGGGCUCGCGUCCUAUUAGUUAGUUGGUGAGGUAACGGCUCACCAAGGCGAUGACGGGUAGCCGGUCUGAGAGGAUGUCCGGCCACACUGGAACUGAGACACGGUCCAGACACCUACGGGUGGCAGCAGUCGAGAAUCAUUCACAAUGGGGGAAACCCUGAUGGUGCGACGCCGCGUGGGGGAAUGAAGGUCUUCGGAUUGUAAACCCCUGUCAUGUGGGAGCAAAUUAAAAAGAUAGUACCACAAGAGGAAGAGACGGCUAACUCUGUGCCAGCAGCCGCGGUAAUACAGAGGUCUCAAGCGUUGUUCGGAAUCACUGGGCGUAAAGCGUGCGUAGGCGGUUUCGUAAGUCGUGUGUGAAAGGCGGGGGCUCAACCCCCGGACUGCACAUGAUACUGCGAGACUAGAGUAAUGGAGGGGGAACCGGAAUUCUCGGUGUAGCAGUGAAAUGCGUAGAUAUCGAGAGGAACACUCGUGGCGAAGGCGGGUUCCUGGACAUUAACUGACGCUGAGGCACGAAGGCCAGGGGAGCGCCAGAAAGUAGCUUCCCCGUUAGUCCUGGCAGUAAACGGGCCACGCUUGGUGUGCGGGGAAUCGACCCCCUGCGUGCCGGAGCUAACGCGUUAAGCGUGCCGCCUGGGGAGUACGGUCGCAAGAUUAAAACUCAAAGAAAUUGACGGGGACCCGCACAAGCGGUGGAGUAUGUGGCUUAAUUCGAUGCAACGCGAAGAACCUUACCUGGGCUUGACCUGUAAUGAACAACAUGUGAAAGCAUGCGACUCUUCGGAGGCGUUACACAGGUGCUGCAUGGCCGUCGUCAGCUCGUGUCGUGAGAUGUUUGGUUAAGUCCAGCAACGAGCGCAACCCCUGUUGCCAGUUACCAGCACGUAAAGGUGGGGACUCUGGCGAGACCGCCCAGAUCAACUGGGAGGAAGGUGGGGACGACGUCAGGUCAGUAUGGCCCUUAUGCCCAGGGCUGCACACGUACUACAAUGCCCAGUACAGAGGGGGCCGAAGCCGCGAGGCGGAGGAAAUCCUAAAAACUGGGCCCAGUUCGGACUGUAGGCUGCAACCCGCCUACACGAAGCCGGAAUCGCUAGUAAUGGCGCAUCAGCUACGGCGCCGUGAAUACGUUCCCGGGUCUUGCAAAGGCCGCCCGUC
rnacentral:rRNA from 1 species